AAAGAAGAACACGUAUGAGAGUAACUGUUCAUACGUUGACGGUAUUUAACCAGAAAGUCACGGCUAACUACGUGCCAGCAGCCGCGGUAAUACGUAGGUGGCAAGCGUUAUCCGGAUUUAUUGGGCGUAAAGAGAGUGCAGGCGGUUUUCUAAGUCUGAUGUGAAAGCCUUCGGCUUAACCGGAGAAGUGCAUCGGAAACUGGAUAACUUGAGUGCAGAAGAGGGUAGUGGAACUCCAUGUGUAGCGGUGGAAUGCGUAGAUAUAUGGAAGAACACCAGUGGCGAAGGCGGCUACCUGGUCUGCAACUGACGCUGAGACUCGAAAGCAUGGGUAGCGAACAGGAUUAGAUACCCUGGUAG
rnacentral:rRNA from 1 species